rnacentral:rRNA from 1 species
CGACGUCGCGUGGAGGAUGAAAUCUUUCGGGAUGUAAACUCCUUUUCUCAGGGAAGAAAAAAAUGACGGUACCUGAGGAAUAAGCCCCGGCUAACUACGUGC